rnacentral:snoRNA from 1 species
UCAUCCUUUCUAGUCUAAGAGGCUCACAAAUCUAAAGAAAGAGGAAGGAUUUCUUUGGACAUGUAAGAAUUGGAGGCAAAGAAAUGUGGACUUGGAGAAAUCUGGGGCCAAUUUGCUCCCUGCAGGCUCAAGAUCAACCAUCCCACAUAG